rnacentral:rRNA from 1 species
CAGCCGCCACGGGAAUACGUAGGGUGCGAGCGUUAAUCGGAAUUACUGGGCGUAAAGCGUGCGCAGGCGGCUUUGCAAGACAGAUGUGAAAUCCACGGGCUCAACCUGGGAACUGCAUUUGUGACUGCAAGGCUAGAGUGCGGCAGAGGGAGAUGGAAUCCCGCGUGUAGCAGUGAAAUGCGUAGAUAUGCGGAGGAACACCGAUGGCGAAGGCGGCCAUCUGGGACAACACUGACGCUGAGGCACGAAAGCGUGGGGAGCAAACAGGAUUAGAUACCCGCGUAGUCCCUGUCUCUUAUAC